rfam:Danio rerio chromosome 4, GRCz11 reference primary assembly.
GUCUCUGUGGCGCAAUCGGUUAGCGCGUUCGGCUGUUAACUGAAAGGUUGGUGUAUCAAGCCCACCCAAGGACG